rnacentral:rRNA from 1 species
UACGUAGGGUCCAAGCGUUGUUCGGAUUUACUGGGCGUAAAGGGCGCGUAGGCGGCGCGGUAAGUCACUUGUGAAAUCUCUGAGCUUAACUCAGAACGGCCAAGUGAUACUGCAGUGCUAGAGUGUGGAAGGGGCAAUCGGAAUUCUUGGUGUAGCGGUGAAAUGCGUAGAUAUCAAGAGGAACACCUGAGGUGAAGACGGGUUGCUGGGCUGACACUGACGCUGAGGCGCGAAAGCGUGGGGAGCAAACAGG